CCUACGGGAGGCAGCAGUGAGGAAUAUUGGUCAAUGGACGAGAGUCUGAACCAGCCAAGUAGCGUGACGGAUGACUGCCCUAUGGGUUGUAAACUUCUUUUAUAUGGGAAUAAAAUGUUCCACGUGUGGGCUUUUGUAUGUACCAUAUGAAUAACGAUCGGCUAACUCCGUGCCAGCAGCCGCUGUAAUACGGAGGAUCCGAGCGUUAUCCGUAUUUGUUGGGUUUAAAGGGAGCGUAGGUGGAUUGUUAAGUCAGUUGUGCAAGUUUGCGGCUCAACCGUAGAAUUGCAGUUGAAACUGGCAGGCUUGAGUACGGUAGAGGUGGGAGGAAUGCGUGGUGUAGCGGUGAAAUGCUUAGAUAUCACGAAGAACUCCGAGUGCGAAGGCAGCUCACUGGACUGCAACUGACACUGAGGCUCGAAAGUGUGGGUAUCAAACAGGAUUAGAGACCCCUGUAGGC
rnacentral:rRNA from 1 species